CCACGUGGCACAAUCAUGGCCAUUGAAUCAUGAACGGUUGAGAUUUGGUCAAGAUUGCCAGUUAUCCCAUGCACUCAUAUCUAUUGUAAGCUCAUUUCAUCAUCCAAUCAGUGCUCGGUCAACAGGAAAAGUCAACUUUUUUUUACACAAGCCCAAUUUUAAGCCGAUCUUGACUGAUCUUAAGGUUUUCGGACCUCCGGAAUCCAAAUUUGACCUCCGUUUAUCUGUUUGGAGCCUCGAAGUACGUGAAAUUAAUAAUUUUCCUAAUAAACACAUAAAAAUACACAAAAUUAAAUAUAUUUAAAACAUAAUUAAUAAUUCAUAGUAUAUUACAUAAACACAAAUAUAAAUUAUAACAUAAGCAUAAAAUAACAUAUUAUCGCUUGAUAAUUAAACAAUUUUUAAUACUAAUCACACCCCCAACCAGCUUAUUGCUAGCCCUCUAGCAAUUAAAGCGUUAUAUUAAGAUUUAUAAAAUUCACAUGCAAGUUAAUAGUUGUUCAUCUAUCCUCUAAAUUACCAAAUAAAUGAACUCUCCCAAAUUCCUUUACCACAUUGAUGUUCACUCAUUAUCCAGAAUAUCAUCAAACCUUCUUUUGUGCUCAAGUAAUUAACACAAUACUUAUGGGGCUUCAUUAAAAGAAAAACAACAUUUUCGUUCUAAAAUUCAUUAGAAAUUAUAUCUUUAGGCAAUAGAUUAUUCACACUUUUUUUUUUAUAUAUUACAUUUCUAACCCGUUUAGCGAGCUUUAGGUUAGUGACUCCCAAACCAGUUGGCCUUAGGGCACUAGGUGUUGAAGCACCCCUACGGACUUAAUUACUCGGGUUUCUAAUAAACAAACAAUAUAUCUAUUACCCAUGUAGCGAGCUUUAGGCCAGUGACUCCCAGACCAGUUGACCUUAGGGCACUAGGUGUUGAAGCACCCCUAUGGACUUAAUUACUCGGGUUUCUAGAUAUAACAAAAUUAAAAACAUUUUUUUUCUUUUUUUUGAUUUUUUUUUUUAGAAAUAUACACUUUCUACCACCUUAGAUACUAUUCCUAAUAAAUCAAAAGAACUAAAUGCUGUAAAAUUUUAACUUACAACCCACUAGUAUGUGUCAUAAUGUGUGUGUGAAGAAUG
rnacentral:lncRNA from 1 species